CCUACGGGGGGCAGCAGUGGGGAAUAUUGGGCAAUGGACGCAAGUCUGACCCAGCAACGCCGCGUGAAGGAAGAAGGCUUUCGGGUUGUAAACUUCUUUUAAGGGGGAAGAGGAGAAGACGGUACCACUUGAAUAAGCCACGGCUAACUACGCGCCAGCAGCCGCGGUAAUACGUAGGUGGCAAGCGUUGUCCGGCUUGACUGGGUGUAAAGGGCGUGUAGCCGGGCGGGCAAGUCGGAUGUGAAAGCCGCGGGCUUAACCCGCGAACUGCAUUUGAAACUAUCGGUCUUGAGUGCCGGAGAGGUAAUCGGAAUUCCGUGUGUAGCGGUGAAAUGCGUAGAUAUCAGGAAGAACACCAGUGGCGAAGGCGGAUUACUGGACGGUAACUGACGGUGAGGCGCGAAAGCGUGGGGAGCGAACAGGAUUAGAUACCCGGGUAGUC
rnacentral:rRNA from 1 species